rnacentral:rRNA from 1 species
GAUGAACGCUGGCGGCGUGCCUAAUACAUGCAAGUCGAGCGAACAGACGAUGAGCUUGCUCCUCUGACGUUAGCGGCGGACGUGUGAGUAACACGUGGAUAACCUACCUAUAUUUCUUGUAUAACUUCGUGAAACCGGAGCUAAUACCGGAUAAUAUAUUUAACCGCAUUGUUCAAUAGUUAAAUACGGUUUUUCUGUCUCUUUUAGAUGGUUCCGCGCCGCAUUAGCUAGUUUGUAAGUUAACGGCUUACCAAGGCAACGAUGCGUAGCCGACCUGAGAGGGUGAUAGGCAAAAGUGGAAGUGAGACAAGGACAAGACACCUACGGGAGGCAGAAGUAGGGAAGAUGCCGCAAUGGGCGAAAGCAUGACGGAGGAACGCAGAGUGAGUGAUGAAGGUAUUAGGAUCGUAAAAAUCUGUUAUUAGGGAAGAAAAAAUGUGGAAGUAAAUAAGCACGUAGUGAAGGUAACUAAAAAGAAAGCAACGGCUAACUACGUG